rnacentral:lncRNA from 1 species
GACAAUGACAUUUGUACAGCUUAGUUAGUUAGUUAGGUAGUCAGUGUACGGAUGUUCUGUACGGAUGUUCUGAGAGGAUAUUGCCUGGCAGAGGUGUGGGUCUGAGCCGUCCUGGCGCAGUUUGUCAAGAGGCAGGCUUGAAGAAAAGUAGUACGAUAGGGUGUGUCUCAGUGCCUGCAGUGGUGUCGCUGAGACUUACAUAUCGACGCAUAUUGACGCAUUAUGGGACCGUGCAGAUGGCAUCGGGGCUCGAACUGACAACCUGCG